rnacentral:tRNA from 1 species
AGGGGUGUAGCUCAAUUGGAAGAGCACCGGUCUCCAAAACCGGCGGUUGUGGGUUCGAGUCCCUCCGCCCCUG